AACGAACGCUGGCGGCAGGCUUAAACACAUGCAAGUCGAGCGCCCCCGCAAGGGGGAGCGGCAGACGGGUGAGUAACGCGUGGGAAACUACCCUUUGGUACGGAAUAACACAGAGAAAUUUGUGCUAAUACCGUAUGUGCCCUUCGGGGGAAAGAUUUAUCGCCAUAGGAUGUGCCCGCGUAGGAUUAGCUAGUUGGUGUGGUAAUGGCGCACCAAGGCGACGAUCCUUAGCUGGUCUGAGAGGAUGAUCAGCCACACUGGGACUGAGACACGGCCCAGACUCCUACGGGAGGCAGCAGUGGGGAAUAUUGGACAAUGGGCGCAAGCCUGAUCCAGCAAUGCCGCGUGCAGGAAGAAGGCCUUCGGGUUGUAAACUGCUUUUGUACGGAACGAAACGGUCUGGGUUAAUACCCUGGGCUAAUGACGGUACCGUAAGAAUAAGACACCGGCUAACUACGUGCCACGCACGCCGACGGUAAAGCUACGUAGA
rnacentral:rRNA from 1 species